GCCUUGUUAGCGCAGUAGGCAGUGCGUCAGUCUCAUAAUCUGAAGGUCAUGAGUUCAAGCCUCACUCAGGGCA